GCCAGUCUGUUUCCAGUAUGGGGGGGGGAGAGGGUGUAGUUUGGGGUCUGUCCCUCCAUGUUCUUUUCUUUGCAGCCAGACUAAAUUUCCCAGCAGCCCCUGUCCAUGUGGCUGUGGAUGAUUUCCAUGGAGACCACAGCAGCAGCUGCACUGUGCUAGUACAGCCCCAGGGUUUCCCUGGAGACCAGGCCAUGUGCUGGCUGUGCACGCAGCUACGUGCAAUUUUGGGGUGGCCUUGACCCCCCGAACCUCUCCCCUUAGCACCAGCCCUGCUGUCAGUGCAUGCAGCAUGGUGUGGAGCUGCAUUGCAGGCAGCCUGGCAUCUUGUGGCAGAGACAACAUAGUCCAUAGCUGGGGUAGAGCUGCAAUCUGCAGCCCGCCAUGCCCCAGGCCAUGAUGUCACUACCACAGGAUUCCAGGCCUUCUGCAGAGCAGUUCUGCACCCUGCUAGUGCAUCUGAGCUGGUCUCCAUGAAAACUGGGGCUUGGUGGGGACAACCGCCACCCCAAAAUUCCCCCUAGCCCCUCCAGUCCCUGCUACUACCAGUGGCUCCACCCACUCCCAGGGCUCUGGCAUGGUCACGUCUCCCCCCGCCCCCCCUGCCCCCCCCCACCUGCUAACCAGCAUCCAUGGAUAUGCCACUGUGGUACACCCCCAGGUUGGCCUAGCUGCUGUUUUCCCUGGGCCCAGUGUGCACAAACUGCUGGCAUGUUUGGUAAUCUACUUGUGAAAAAAACACACCACAUCCGGAAGGAACUUUAUAAAUUACAACCUUUUAUUUAAAAAUCCAUUAAAAAUAUACAGCCUUAAUUAAAAAACAACAACAAAACAAAUAAAUAAAAAACAAAUCUAAAUUAACAAUCAAAAAAACAACAACUGCAGUGCACAAUGACAGCAUCACAAUUUUGAUGUCUUAUUGUUCUGCAGGGGGAAAGAAAAGAUAGGUUUUGCCCUGUGCUCCCAAAACCAUCUUCCUGGCCUCCUCCUACAGGCUACAAAAUCCCCUGUGGGAGAUUUCAAUACCUAUUUAUCACCUGGGCAGCAUAAUAUCCCGGGGGAAGGGUCUGGAAUCAUGUGUCCACUGUGCAUGAGUUUUCUGAAAGACAGUUAUAAGAUAGGCGCAAGUUACCACUAAAUAAUAACAUGUUAACAUGUGCCCAGGCACACUCCCUCAGUGGUAUACUUACCACCUGUUGCACCUCCUGCGAGUUCCAUUAGGCUUGCCUCUUUCCGGGUGGUCACUGGUAGUGAGAUGGCUGAACCUGUUCCCAUACCCACAUUGUCUGUGACCAAGGAACACCCCAGUUCCAGCAGGCCAGGAGUGCACUACUAUGGUGGGGGAGGGGUCCAGGUUUGACACCCUCUGCCCACGUGGGCUGCCCCAUACUAUAGUACUGGGGCCGGUGCUGGCAGCCAAAGGCAAAUGGCAGGGCGUGGGCAGGAGUGGAGCCAACUGUGUCACCUGCAGCCAUGCCGCACACCUCCGCAUGUCUGUGGCCAGAGUGACCCCCCCAUGCCAUGGUUCCCCUUAAUUGGCCCCUGGUUUCUGCAAAGACUUAAUAAACCUUUGCCAACCACAGUGAUCCAGAUGCUGUGUCCCAUUGACCCAGACACCAGUAGCAGAGACCCCUGCCUGACCUCCCCCACCCCAAGCAUCCAGGACCACACAUGCCCCUUCCCUGGCAUUGGCCCAGGCAGAAGUCUGAAGUCUGACUUACGUAUGACCUGGUCAAAGUAGGGGUGGGGGUUAACACUGGCCAGAGUGGUUGCAAUGCCUGCAGCUGUGUGUGGAAUCGGAGAACCGCAUGCUAGUAUAAAUGACAAAUGAAAGCACUCAAAGAGGAGAAGUAACUAUUGAUUUUGUGCCAGAGUGGGAUUAAUGGGCAAGGGGGCCUAGACCCAGGGGUUUCCUUGGUAAUCAUGAUGCGUCUGGACUUCACAGAGAUGUAGCAUGGACCUGGUGGACAUGCUGGCUGGUGUCAUCCCUGACGGUCUGCUGUCAUCUGUGGCAGCCAGUGUGUGAGCUAGCUCACUUGAAUGUUAAGUGGUCCUACUUUAUGAAUAGUGGGUCAUUUAUGUCAGCAUUCAUUCAUUCAUUCAGUCUAUAUGUCAUUCAUUCAUAUUGUCAGUCAUUGGGAGCUGACAGGCAUCAUAGCUCAGCCACUAGUACGGAUCUUCAAGAACUCAUGGCACUCAGGUGAAGUGCCCGAAGAUUGGAAGAAGGCCAAUGUGGUACCUAUCUUCAAGAAAGGGAGGAAAGUAGAUCCGGGGAACUAUAGGCCUAUCAGCCUGACCUCUAUCCCUAGGAAGAUCUUGGAAAAAAUUAUCAAAGAGACCAUUCUUGACAAACUGGCUGAUGGCAACAUCCUGAGGGAUAGCUAGUACGGGUUUGUUGCAGGUAGGUCUUGCCUGACCAAUCUCAUCUCCAUCUAUGACCAGGUGACAGAUCACUUGGACAAGGGAGAAGAGAUUAACAUCAUAUAUCUUGACUUUAAAAAAGCCUUCGAUCUGGUGUCCCAUGAUCUGCUCAUGGAAAAAUUGGCCAACUGUGGCCUCGGCUACAUCACAGUCUGAUGGCUGGGGAAUUGGCUCCAAGGUCGGACCCAGAGAGUGGUAAUAGAUGAAAGUAAAUCAUUGUGGUGUGCUGUGACCAGUGGGGUCACCCAAGGCUCUGUCCUUGGGCCUAUUCUCUUUAACAUUUUUAUUAAUGAUGUAGACAGUGCUGUCAGAAAUGGACUGGCCAAUUUCGCCUAUGACACCAAACUUUGGGGUAAAGCGUCCACACCUGAUGAUAGGCUAGUGAUCCAGGCCGACCUAGAUAGGCUCAGAAAAUGGGCGGAUGAAAACCUGAUGGCGUUCAACACCGAAAAAUGCAAGGUACUCCACCUUGGGGGGAAAAAAACCACAGCACGCUUAUAAGCUCAGCAGUGCUACACUUGCUAGCACCAUGGCCAAAAGGGACUUAGGGGUCAUGAUUGACCACAAAAUGAAUAUGAGCCACCAAUGUGAUGUCACAGCUGGUAAAGUGAGCAAAACUCUGGCUUGCAUCCAUAGAUACUUCUCAAGCAAAUCCCAGGAUGUCAUCCUCCCACUGUACUCGGCCUUGGUGAGGCUGCAGCUGGAGUACUGCACCCAAUUCUGGGCUCCAUAAUUUAAAAAGGAUGUGUAAAAGCUUGAGAGAGUCCAGAGGAAAGCCAUGCACAUGAUCAGCAGGCAGGAGAACAGGCCCUGUGAUAAGAGAGGCUGAGAGCCAUGGGACUCUUCAGCCUGGAAAAGCGCAGGCUCAGGGGGAACCUGGCGGCUGCCCAUAAGUAUAUAAGGGGUGUACAUCACGGAUCUGGGGGAACACCUGUUCACCAGAGCACCCCAAGGGAUGACAAGGUCAAACAGUCACAAACUCUUGGCUAAACAGGGAAAUCACAGUCCUCUUAAGAAAGAAGAAAGAGGCUUAUAAACAAUGGAAGCUCAGGGCCCCAAGGAGGGCUAUUACAUGAUGGGGUCCGCAUUUGCAGGAACAGAUAAGUGGCAACCAAACUUAGAUUAGCAACAGGAAUCAAGAUCAACAAGAAGUCCUUCUUUAGAUACGUAGGAAACAGGAGGAAAACAAAUGGGAGUGUAGGGCCAUUGCUCAGCAACUCAGGAGAGCUGGUUACUGGUACCCAGGAGAAAGCUGAACUCCUGAAUGACUACUUUGCCUCAGUCUUUCACCGGACCAAGGGGAAAAUCACUCCAGGUAGAGUAGAGGAUGAACACAAUAGGAAUAAUCGCCUUCUUACUAUUGCCGUAGAAUUGGUGUCUGACCAAUUAAUAAAAGUAGAUGUAUACAAGUCAGCAGGACCAGAUGAUCUUCAUCCGAGAGUGGUGAAGGAGCUGGCCGAAGUCAUUGCAGAACCCCUGGUGAAAUUCUUCCACAACUUGUGGCACUGUGGAGAAGUCCCUGAGGCCUGGAAGAUGGCCAACGUUCUGCCCGUCCACAAGGAGGGCAGGAGGGAGGACUUGGGUAACUAUAGGCCAGUCAGCCUAACUUCCUAGGGAAAAUCCUAGAAAAUUUCAUCAAGGAGUCUAUCUGCGAUAAGCUUGCAAAGGGUAAGAUUCUCGAUUACAGCCAGCUUCAUUGUGGGCAGGUCUCGCCUUACCAACCUCAUCUCCUUCUAUGACCAGGUAACUAGCCACCUGGACAUGAGAGAGCAGGUUGACAUUGUAUACCUAGAUUUCCAAAAGGCCUUUGAUCCACGAUGUCCUUGCAAGAAAAUGGGAGGAUUGUGGGCUUAACGCCGAGACAGUUAGGUGGGUGAGAAAUUGGCUGCAGGAUAGAACCUAGAGAGUCAUAGUGAAUGGAUCUGUGUCAUCCUGGUGAGAAGUGGGCAAUGGUGUCCCACAGGGGUCGGUACUCAGUCCACUACUUUUCAGCAUCUUUAUUAAUGAUUUGGAUGUGGGGGUGAAGAGCUCACUGGCCAAGUUUGCUAAUGACACCAAGUUAUGGGGAAGCGUGCUUGAAGAUAGGCUACAGUUAAAGGUGGGCCUAGACAGGCUAGCAAGUUGGGCAGAUUGGAACCUAAUGAAGUUGAACGUCAAGAAAUAUAAAGUGCUCCACCUCGGGAUGAGCAUCCCCGAAUACACCUACAGGCUUGGCGGCACCAAACUGACUAGCACCACGAAUGAAAGGGACCUGGGGAUAAUAAUAGACCAUAGUAUGAAUAUGAGCCAGCAGUGCAAUGCUGUAGCCAGUACGUCAAAAAAUACUCUGUCAUGCAUCAAUUGAUGCAUCUCCAGCAAAAAGAAGGAGGUGAUUCUUCUGCUCUACUCAGCACUGGUGAGACUGCAGCUGGAGUACUGUGUCCAGUUCUGGGCACCGCACUUUAAAAAGGAUUUGGACAAGCUCUUGGAUUUGGGUGGCUCUUCUCUCAAAGAAGAGCCAUCCAUUUGAUCAGAGUCUUAAAAGGCAAGCCAUACGAGGAAAGGCUGUGGGAUCUGGGACUUUUCAGCCUGCGGAAAAGAAGGCUGACAGGGGACCUGGUAGCAGCUUACUGCUACACUAGGGGAGUACAUCAAGGGGUUGGUGAGCAACUGUUCACCAAGGCACAGUCAGGGUGUCCAGACUGUGGAAUUAGCUCCCUCCAGAGGUGGUGUGAUCACCUAACCUGGAAAUCUUCAAGAUGAGACUAUACAGCCACCUUGCUGGGGUCACCUGACCCCCAGUUAUCUUUUCUGCUUGGUGCAGGGGGCUGGACCCUGUGAUCUUCCAAGGUCCCUUUCAGCCUUACACUCUAUGAAUGUAUUAAAGAGCUCAACCAGAACCCCUGUGCAUAACAUGCUGAAUUAUUGGUAUCUCCAACCACUAAUGGAGGUACUUGAGCACCAAGCAGUGAGAUGAUCAGAAGUCUCCGACCCAUCCUCCUCUCCUGAGACCUCGCCAGCCAUGGGUCCUGUUCCCUCAAGUGAAGAAGGCAAUGGCAGUUCACUAGUACUGGCCCUUGAAGAGUCGCCAAAGAGGAGAGACCAGGGACAGCAUCCUCCACAACUGCAGUGUUCGUUACACCGCCACCACUGAAAAAAACACAGACUGGAUAGGAAGCAUGUUAACGAUGUCCGGACAGAUAGGAUUGUCAGCACCAUCACUACCUGCAGGGUAUGCUUGCGGAAGAUUGCAAGACAGACAUAUUGUGUCUGCCCAAGUGUCAUCUGGCCAAUGUGGCAGGAGGCAUUCACAAGAAUGAGAGAGAGAAGGACAGUUCAGCUCAGAAAUGUGGUUAAUGAUUAUUUCUUUUUUUGUCAUUUUAAACAUUCAAUGCCUGUGGUUAUUGAUUAUAAAGUUGCUGUAAUAAAACCUGUUGAUUAUUGCUUGAGGUUUUAAAAGUUAAAGAGUAUUGAUCACGGUUACCUUGUAAAUGCUGUGACGUUUGGUAAUUUAUGUAAAUUAUGCUUAAUAUAUCAGUAAAAGUUAAUUCCAUUGUACACUUUUCUAUUUUCUGUAUUCCAUAAUACACUUUUCUAUUUUCUUUCCUUUCAAUGUGGGCCAUUAGGAGGUCAUCAAACCAGGCUUCCUGGCUUUGUUCUCAUCAUUGCAAAUCAACAGCUGUUUGCAAAAUUACCAGUAAAUCCCCAGUUGGUACCAGCAUAACACGGGGCUGGGUACUGAUGGUUGGGAGUGAGGGGCACUGGCAGGGCCAGGGGUCCCCGGGUUGGGAGUGAGGGGUAGCAGCAGGACUCGGAUGGGCUGUGGCUUGGCAGUGAGGGGCAAUGGAAUGGGCAGGGCCAGGGCACCUCUUUUUUAGAAUUAGAAAUACGGUAACCUUAGUGAUGGUGACAUUGUCAGUAAGGAUUACCUGCUGCCAUUGCAGGAGUACCCAUGGCUCUGACUGUGGGGUGAGCUUGUAAAUUGUGACUGGCAUGGCAGCCAGCACAAGGGGAAAAAAUUAUGAAGCAUAAUGCUGUGGGAAGGCAGGCUCCAUUUGCUCUGAAGGGCAAAUGACAGCAGUCCAGGGCACCCCCUUUAGGCUCCCAACUAGUUCUUCAUUCCUGAAGAAUGACCAGGAAUCAGGGAGAGAUUAUGGGGUGACAGCGCUGUUCUCAUUAAGGGCUGCCUGUUGCCAUGGGUUUCACUGUGGGGUGAGCUUGUGCAGUUGCGACUGGCAUGGCAGCCAGCACAAGGAAAAAAAUUAUGAAGUGUGGAGGCUAUGGGCUGCAGUCAGUGCUGUGAGAGGGCAGGCACUAUUUGCUCUGUCUGACUAAAGGGCAAAUGAAAGCAGUCCAGGGCACCCCCUUUUGGCUCCCAAGUGGUUCUUCAUUUCUAGAUGGAACCAGGGACAGAUUAUGGGGUGACAGUGCCAUUGUCACCCUGGCCAGGGCAUGGCCGGGAGUGGGGGGACACCACAGGUGUCUGUGUGGGUGAGCAGAAGAUUAAUUCAUGUUGGGCUGGAUGGGCCGCAACACUUGGCAUGCAACACCAGGUGUCCGAAAAAACACAUUACACCCAAGUACCUAAAAAUUGUAGGUAUCCUUUCUUUCCUAUCUGCAAUUUGAAGUGACAUCUGGUGGGCAAAGGGGCUUACUACACAAAAAUUGCAGUGGCAUCUGGUAGACGAAGGGGCUCAUUACACAUCAUUGAGUGAAUUUCUGUUUUCAUGUGACAGAUCCAUGGAUGCAUGAGUUUAAUUUGUGGCAAUCCAAAGUAAAAUACGUGGGAUCUGUUUUACUUUGAAUAGCAAAGAAGACAUUUAAAUCAUCAAAAUACCCCAUACAUAUAAGCUAUAACGCAGUUAAAUCGCAAAAAGGCAAUUUUUGUCAUGUACAAUCGCCCUUUGCUCUUUGACCUUGAACUACAGUCUACCAUUCCUGCUGACCAGCCCAUCUGCAGGUGAAAUCAGAUAAGAACUCUUUUAAAACUUAAUUUGAAACCUAGGUGAGAAGUCUUUUCGCUCUGGUGCAUGACAGUUUACCCCAGGUGGGGUAGGGGAGGCUGUGUCCAGCAACUUUGCUGGCCCCAGCAGCCUUACCUGGGGUUCUGGGGGCCUUAGAGAGCUGCAGCCUCAGCACUCCUACAGCUGGGAGCCUGGCCCAUAGCCAGAAUGUGGCUUCAGCUGGCCAGGCUCCAGUUUUGGUUGGCACAUGCUGCUGCCACAUGCGCUGCCUUGCUUUUUUUGCCAUGGUUUUCUUUUUACCAUGGGACCUCCUGGGGUCAGCCCCGCCUACACUGAAAGGUAUCAGUAUGAGGCAUGCCUGUAUGCAUGAUGUGUGGUAAUUUGCCUGCAUGUGUGGUGUGUGGCACAUAACGCGCAUCUCUGCUCCUCUGGAUGUGGCCACAGUGGCUGGGCCAGCAGGCAGGGUCAAAUCUGCAACACCACAAGGGAGCUGGUCAGAUACCAGCCCCAGCCAAGCCUGUUCCCUCCCAUGAGGACACUGAGAAGGAGCCAAGUGAACAGCAGGAACCUAUGGUGUGACAAAAAUAGAACUCCAGAAGAGAAUUUACCUGGGGGUAAGUCAAGCAGAGCCAGUACAAAGCUGCACUGAACUGAAGGAGCAGUGGGCACGGAGCUGCGGCCAGAAAGAACACAACGCCGGAAGAAAAAAAAAGCAGCUGACCUGGGAGGAGCCGGGACCGGCUUCUGUACCAGCGUGGGCAUGUUUUAUGGCCGCAUACUGGCGCCAAUUCACCGGCUGGCCCAUUGGAAAGGGAAUAAGAACCCCAAUGGACAAGAGGCAGAGGGAACCGGAAGUGGGUUCCCCCUGGCAACCAUAUUUUGCCAGGGCAACAAGCAGCCGAGAGCAGAGCCAAACCUCACUGAGGGAAAGUGGUAGCAGCCCCAGGAAGGGGCUUUUGGAGAUAAUUCAAGCCCAGAAGAGCUAUAUUACUCACCUGAAGUGGAGCCGUGGACUCCUGACAUCUCCCGAUUGGAUUGGACCCACCAGGGACCUGUGGAGAGAAGGAGAGACAGCUGUCUACACCACAGUGACUACAUGCCAAAGAAAGUGGAACCGGCGCUGGGAGACAAGGUAACCCGGGGACAGGAAGAGGCUAGGCCAGUCCCACUAUGGCCUAAGCAGAGUGAGGUGAAUUGACGUCUGUAUAUGUUUAUACUGAUUCAGAAAGCCAAGACACAUGUACCAGUACCAUGACCAAACCCAGAAGAAUGGGAUUCAGCAUCGUUGGUUGGUGUUAGGUGGGAUGUAGGGGAGGCAGAGCCCAAAAACGGGAAGACUGACAAGAGGAUUGAAGGAGGGGACCAAGAAGGACAGAACAUACAUCUUCCUCCUUACUAAAUACAUUUAUUACAGCACAGACAUGACAGGUGGGAACCCCUGAGGACCCUCUGGAAUCCAACUCGAUAGUAAGCCAUCUUUUCCUCAAGCAACGGCGACAUCUGAAAAACCCGUAUGAACCAGAUGCACUGGUGAACGGCAUGGUCAAUUACAUAUCGGAACUGCAGGUCCCUGAUGGGGGGACUAUAAAACUCCUCCUAUUCCUAUGGGAUGUGUCUCAUUACUAUCGCUCCUGUAUGUGCUUCUUUGACCUCUACUUUGCCCCUGCCUGACUCCAGCCCUGCCCCUGUCCCUGCACUAUCUGGACUUCCUGGCUCUGAUCUGUCAUCUGCCUUGACCACGGUCCCGCCUCAACCCUCAGCCUGAUGACUUGGACUGCAACAGAUACCUGGUGUGACCCCAGCCUGCAUAUGGUAACUUAAAUUACUGUCCAUGGCCUGGUUGACAUGACAUUGUAUUACUUUGCUGUCCAUUCAAAGAGGUCUUCUUUCAAACUAUCUGCUAGACAACCUAGGGUUCCCUUGGACUCCUAUCUGUUGCUGGGUGAAACAUAUUUACCCAAAAUAGUUUUUGGCAAUAAAACAAAGCACACAACUUUUUCAUAUACCAAUAGAUAGAAUACUAUUCUAUGUUAUUACACAUGGUUAUACCACAGCAUAUCCUGCUUUCCUGACCUAAAAGAAUAUUGAAACUUGUUAUAUGUAGAUAUCAGCUUUCCAAUAUUUUACAAAAGCUUCUUAGUACACUGUGGAGCAAACUCUCUCCAGAGCAGCAGUUUCUGAGAGCUCAUCACUUUGAUGUUCUGCAUCUAGCACUGAUUUAACUGAUAUGUAAGAUCAAAUUCAGUGUUGCAAUGUUCACUUUAAAGGUCUUCUAUGGAAUUGGCCCAGGAUAUUGAAGACAAUGCUUCUCUGAUUUUACUGAUGAUUUUCCUCCACAUCUAUAUGCCUCAAGGAUGAUGAAACUGAAGACACUGGGCUUCUUCAUUAAAAGGGGAAAGGGUUUGGAAAUCAUAACCAGAGGAGACAGGGAUGACCUUAGUCUUGGUUUCAUCAGAAAAAAAUGUGAAACUCUCAUCUUCACCUUAGCUUUUCUGCAGUUGCAGUUAAAAAAAAAAGCAGAAAAGAAGAGGAGAGUAAAGAAGUAAAGACGUCAAAGAGGAGUAUGAAACAAACCUUAGCUGCAAACUUUAACCCCUUCUUAUAAAUAAAUGGUUUAAGGAGGAAAAUCAGACCUCUGGUCAAUUGACAUUUUACUCAUUUCUUGGAGACAGUAGGACAGUGCUUCCUAAACUUUCCCUCAGUGUGACCCCAUUUAUGACCCCAUUUCCUCUGCAUAACCCUUCACUCCCAACCUGAAGCCCCCCCACAAACUCAGGUGCCCCUCACUCCCCACCCAUAGGCCCCUGGCCCUGCUGAUGCCCCUCACUCCCCCCACUUUGCAGCUCCCUGCUCACCCUGAUGCCCCAGGGCCAAGGCCCACAGCACUGCCAGAGCAGAGCCCUUGGGGGAGAAGGAUGCAGGCUGCCCACUACAGGCUUGGGGCUCCCCACCUGCUACCCUCCGCCUGGGGGCUCCAUGGCCCAGUGGGCAGGACCCGGCACAGGAGGGAGGAAGUGCUAUGCCACACUAUGCCACCAUGGCUGCCAAGCUGAGGUGCCCCUGCUCCCCAAGCAGCAGCAUGGGCACAACUCUGCACCAUUGCCACUGCCAUGUCUUACCUUAGUAGCCAUGGUGGUGCAGCACUCCUUCCCACAAUGGGUCCUACCUACUGGGCUGCAGAGGCAGCUCCUGCCCAGAGCUGGUUCAGCCCAGCUGCAGCCCUGCACCCCUCUGUGGGCACAGAAAUCUCAGGGGGCAUGUUUAUCACAACCCCAUCUACUGAUGUUGUGACCUCAUUUGGGGUCGCGACCCAAAAUUUGGGAAAUGCUGCAGUAGGCUAUUGUUAGAGUGUUAUAAGAACCUAUGUAGAUUACCUUGUUGAUGAACAUUAUUGAAAUGUUUGUUUAGAUAUUUUUAUGUCUCUCAUCCAGCAGGUAUCUGAGUGCUUCAUAGCCUCAUAAACUUGUAUAAGUAGAGAAGUACGGGAAUGGGAAACUGAUGCUAAGAGUAAAUUAAGUGACCUGCCCAGGAUUAAAUAUGAAGUUAAUGGCAGGACCAAGUAUUAAGCAUAGGUCUCCUGAGUUGCAAUCUAGUUCUAGACCACACCAGCAUUUAAUUAGCUAUCUUUUUCAUCUUACCAUUCUGACUCCAGAAGGACUGCAGAAUUGGUUAUUAAAUGAGUAACUGAGUUUUUUAGGUGAAAGGACACAAUUUCUGUUCAGUGAUAUACAGUACAUUUUCAGUUGUACAUGAUUUCCUUUGAGAAAAGGAAUUUAACAGCUGGUGUUCAGAGCACUUACAUACUUUAUUAUAAAGAAUUUGUUCUUUAUACCAGGAACAUGACAAUAGAUGUUACUUAACUGCCUACCUUCAUUUGUCUUUGUUUUGUUUUUAUCAUUGUAUAGUUUUAUCUGCAGUCCUGUAGCCUGAAGUAAAAAGUUGUAUAUGGUCAUCGUUUAAGUAUUUCCUGUCACUGAGAAAAACAUAAUUCUAAAAAAGAAUAUCAUUCUAAAAAUGUAAUUUAUGUGUAAAUUAGAAACAGAGAUGUACAGGUAAAAAAGGGAAAAAGUCAGUUUUGAAAUCUUUAUAUUGCCUCUAUAAACCGAUAAUAUUGCCUCCCUUUGGGGUGUUCUGUAGUCACUCUAUUGCAAAGAGCCAGAUCCAGAAAUCAAAAAAUUCCAGUGAUGAACAAAAGUGAUUAGAGAUGAGGACAAACUUCCAUGGUAGGAGAAAUUGUAAAGAUUCAUUUAAUUUGGAAAGGAGAUGAAUAAAUGAUAUGAUUGCGAGGGAGAAAAAAGAAUAUGUAUUUUCCUUUUUCAUAACAUAAAAACAAAGAGGCCAUGCAGUAUAAUUGAAAAGUAGAACUAGGAUUGCUUCUCUUACAUAAAACAUAACUUGUGAAAUUCAUUGUCUGGAGAUAACAGUAAAUCUGAAAGUCCAGUAGGAUUCAAGACAGAAUUAAAAAUGUAUGUGAACAGUAAGAGUAUCCAAAAUUGCAUUAAAUACAUUUUUAAAGAUUAGGGAAUGCAAAUUAUGCUUUGGGGUGUCAGGAAACCACAAACUGAUGAACAUUAGAAAAAAACUUCUACAGACAAAUUAUUCCAUUACUUACCAUUAUGGGAUUUCUUGCCACUUUCUAUAUAGCAGUGGUUUUCAACCCUGGAAUUUCAUGAUAGGUCAUCAGGAGUUCCACAGAGAGUUUGGGAAUAAUGGUCCAGUGGGCCUGGGGGGAACGUGCUGUCAUUCCUGGGCUGGGUUGCCAGCUCAGUGUCAGUCUUUAGGAUAGGGGUAGGGGUCCCUCAGCAGAAAAAGUAUUACGAAAGGGCUCCAUAAUCGUAGGAAGUUUGAAAACCACUGCCAUAAAGCAUCUGCAAGAGAAGGCUGUCAGAGACUUGGUAUUAGGUGUGACAGACCAUUUUUUUGAUUUGGUAUGGCAAUUCCUUUGUCUGUUUGGGUUUUUUGUCCUUUCCCUACACUCUUUGAAGCUAAUAAGUAGGGACCUACCAAAAUAGCAAUCAUGUGAUUUUCACAGAAAUUAUGAUUUUGGGCAGGCUUCUCUCUGCACUUUUAGUGGGCUUGCUGAAGGGGAAAAAAAAGCUGCAAGAACAGAAAAGGGCAGGAAGCCCUGGAGUCCUGAAGCAUGGAGGGAGAGAGUGGGAGGAGAGGGAGAAAAUCAGAGGCUAAGCUUGUGGUGUAAACUCAGUCCAGGAGCCAGUCCAGGGUAGUGCAAGGGUUUUGGCACCAGCUUUUAAAGUGCCCACAGGGAUGCUGCUACAGCAUGCUGCUGCCUAAGACAGAUUCUUCAGUUUGCCCACUGAGAAGAAAUCCUCUAAGACAGCCAAAUAUGUUUCAGUCCUGGACCAUGUAAGAUAGUAUCCAACAGGGACCUCGCACACAGAUGGAGGCAGACUUUGCUGUACCUCCUGCAGUGUAACUCUGGAUGUCUCAAGGAAAAUCAGCAUAGAUCGGCAAUUAGAGUCCAAGGCACACAUGAGGUGGAAGGAUGUUGCAGAGGCUGAAGGUCAAAGCAAGAAACAAGCAAUCAUGUCCUCCCUGUUUAAAAGGACCAUAGAAAGGAGCUUGGCAAGGCAAGAGGUGACAUUUUUCCUUGUGGAGGCUUUUGUAGCAGCAAACAUCCUGCUGGAGAUACUUGAUCACCUGAAGUUAAGGAGCUACCUGAACCAAAACAUGCCAGAUGCUGCUAGUUUUCCACAUGCCAACAGCUUCACCAAGAUUAUCUCCCUGCAAUGAUUGCUUCACAUGUAUAGUUCACAGAGGCUGCCUUGACAAAGUAUGACGCUUCCAUUGUGACUGAUGAAGCCACCAACCCUCAGGACUAUGUACUGCACAUUUUAUUUGUAUCGGGGAGCUAGGGACCUGGCUGUAUUUCAAACUGAGCCAGUCCACCUCAGAUCUGUCAGUUUUUCUACUGUGUCUCAAUCAUCAUGAAGGUAAUUGUCAGCUAUGGCAUAGACUUUAACAAGAUCUCAGCAUUCCUGUCUGACAAUACUAUGUACAUGUGCAAUGCUUUCUCUGAUGUGCUCCAAGGAAUGCUGUCCAAUGCUGUUCAUGUCACCUGCAAUGCACACAUUCUGUCCUUAGUAAGUGACAUCUGGUGCACUCAGUUCCCCAGUGUGGAUAGCCUGGUAUCUUCCUUCAAGUAUUGUCCAGACCAUAAGGUCUGGUAUAAGAAGUCCAUCACCAGUCACAGUGGGCACCCACAUGGCAGCUUGCCAUUGCCACCAGAGCCUGUGCUCACAUGGUGGAAUUUGUGGUUCAACGUGGUCUGCUACCAUACCAAGCAUAUGCAGCACUACCAGCAGUUUGUGAAUGAGGAGCUGCAAAUCACGCCUAGCACAUGGUGCAUGCUUAAGCUUUGCAGUCUCUUAGGACAAGGCAACAUUCAAGAUCUAGUGAUGUUUGUGGCUAACAAUGCCCGUUCAUGGAGCUCCUGUCAUGAUUUGAAGGCUGGCAGGCUGUGAUCCACCACACACACAACAAGCUGAUGGAUUUGAUAAGCUGAGUGACAGAACAAGGAGCAACGGUCUCAAGUUGCUGCAAGGGCCAUCAGGCAUUCUGCAAAAAGGGGUGGGACUAUUAGGGCCCCUCAGCCAAUCAGAGGCAUGGAGGGGGUGCCAUGCUCAGCCCGCAAAAAUGGCAGCUACCCCUGGGAUCUCCUCGUGAAAUCAGCUGGCCACCACCUCAAAUUCAGGAGACCCCCUACUUCAAAGAUAAUGUUAAAGGAAAAAUUGGUUCCUCUUAGAGGCUAUCCAAACGGAUUAGGCUCUGUUUUCAAUCCUAUUACAAAGGUGUAGGUUUUAUUUAAAGAACAGCUGUUCAUACAUUCUAAAGCAGCUUCCAUAGUUUCUGAAGGAAUGUGUCAUGCCUGGAAACAUGAAAGUGUCCACAAGAAAUUAUACAGAAUAGUUUUGCAGUCUUCAAGAUUUUGCCUCAUCCUGGUUUCCUGUGGUUGCUGUUACUUCUUACCAUUAUGUCUCAUAAUGAGGAUCUGCAGAACCAAUUCUUGAAAAGAAAUUUAAAUAUAAUGAAUAGAGAAAUGUAAGUGCUUUGCCUUUUACAGUGUAAAUUCUCCAGCCGCCUCUGUCUCUGAUUUUUUUAUUUAAUGAAUUAAACAGUGCAAAUGACGUAGGAUAGCUAUGGGUCCAGGUUUCCAUUCAUGAGGAAACAAGCACAAACCUCUAGGCCCUCUGUUGUCACAAUUAAAAACAUGCACUUCCCCAUAGUGGGAGUCUAGAACCGUAGACUUCAUCACCACAUACAGUAAAUGGCAUUCUUCUAUAAGAACAUUAAAUCUUCUGUGUCUCCUUUAUGAGGCACAGCACAUACUGGCAUUGUGCAUCUUAAAAAAAGUUGUCAUUUUAUAUUGAUAAAAGAAAAAUAUUUACUUUCAGUGCUUUCACACAAAGGCUUUUAUAGCAAGCAAAAAUAAAAAGACAUGAAUUGGCUGUUCUAAGAACAAUAGAUCACAUAAAGUAUAAUAUAUUUAAUAAUUAGAGUUUCCCUUAAAUCCAAUAAUUUUUAUGAAUCAGAAUGUAAAGUUAUAACUACCCACAAGGAUUUCUUUCUUAAACUGCCAAAAUGUAUCUGCCUGUAUUUUUGGAUACGUACCUCUACUCAUGCUUCUAUUUGGCAGUUCUGUAUUCAAUCAUAAGUAAUGAUCUGUGCAGGUUUAAUAAUAAUUUAGGCAGAUGACUGAAGUGUAUAUUAAUAUACCAUUAUAUUAUCAAUUUUGUAGUCUAGCUAACUGGCACAUUUUUGUAUAAUAAAUAUUAAAAGCUG